rnacentral:lncRNA from 1 species
UUCAUUUCGUUUUUAAUUUGUGUAUUUUUUUUUUGUUAUUCAUUUGUUUGUGUAUCAUCUUUACAACAUAAUUUUAUACUUACACAUCAUCAUUAUUGCAUGAGACAUUAGUCUUGAACUUCAAGUGGUAGGUUAAUUCGUAGAUCUCAAUCACCACCACCAAUUAUAGAUGAGAUCCAAGGCGAAAACAUUUUGUACCAACUUAAUCCUCCAAUUCAUCAGGGAGACAACCAAUCUUAACAUGAUCAGAAUCAAUCGAGAACUUUGAGAGACUAUAUGAAUCCAAUGAGAACCGGAACACCAUUGUGUAUAGUAUUUCCUCCAAAAACAUCUCGAUUCAACUUCAAAUAAAGCUAUUAUCCAACUUUUACCAAUACUUAAUGGUUUGGAGCUAGAUCUUAGGACCUUGGCAUUGGAAUGGUUGACUAAUGAUGGUAACCCUAGCCCUAGUAAGAAGUACAAGUUGGACUUAACUCUUUGGUUGAAACUAUUUUCUUGGAGUUAUGAGGUAAUUUCUUCUAAACUUUACUUCUUUCUUUUAAGCCAUUGAGGACAAUGUUUUGUUCAGGUGGGGGGAGGGAAUAGUUGACAGCUAUGGAAUAUAGCAAAUCCUGAUAAUGUUUAUGUUGAAGAUGGCUAAAUAUAGGGUGUAACGACUCUAGAAACGCAUCUUCAGCAGCCUGUUCAGGCGUUAUCUUUCCUAUUUCUUCUUUUAUUAUUUAUGUUUUCUUUAUCGUUUUCGUCUUUUUGCAUGCAUAUUUUUAAAUUAUGAAUAAUGUUUAGAUUAGGUUAGGGGGAAGGGGUAGUUGACGUAAAUUGUAAAUAGGUGUGUUUAUUUAUUUAUUUAAAAAAACCCAAAAAACCAAAAACAACAAUUUUUUUUAUUAUGUCUAGGAUGACUGUGUAAAGAGUCACAACUUUUGAGACACAUCCUAAUAAUUUUGUUGUAUUAUAUUUUGAUUUAAAAAUUCAUAGUAAUUUAUUUUUGUUCCCUUUUCUUUGAAUUACUCAAAUUUUUUAACUCGCCAUUUGGUUAUUAAAUUAUUUUGUUGUUUACUCAUUUAACAGGCAUUAAUAAAUCAUUCUUCACACACAUACUGUGACACAUACUAGUGGGUUGUAAGUUAAAAUUUUUGCAGCAUUUAGUUCUUUCGAUUUAUUAGGGAUAUAUCCAAGGUAGUAGAAAGCGUAUAUUGCAAAAAAAAAAAGAAAAAAAUAAAAAAUAAAAUUUAAAUGUGUUUAAUUUUGUUAUAUUUAGAACCCGAGUAAUCAAGUCCGUAGGGGUGUUUCAACACCUAAUGCCCUAAGGUCAACUGGUCUGGGAGUCACUGGCCUAAAGCUCGCUACAUGGGUUAUAGAUAUAUUAUUUUCUUAUUAAAAACCCGAGUAAUUAAGUCUGUAGGGGUGUUUCAAUACCUAGUACCCUAAGGUCAACUGAUCUAGGAGUCAUUGGCCUAAAGUUCGCUACAUGGGUUAAAAAUAUAAUAU